GGAGUAAGCGAAAACGACCGUUGAGGAGAGUACCAGAUGGUAUAAAAGAAGAAGAGUAAACUGCGACCACUCUCACUAUACAUCAAUGUUUCGGUCGUAGAUAAUCGUGAAAUUAUAUUCUGAACCCAUCGUGCCGUCCUGAUCGGUAUUGAGUUUUCGGCCAUCACUUGGGCAUUCUUCCAUCAUUUGAAAUAACACGAACACCGGAAUCAUGCAGUUGACCAACGAUGGAGUUCUUCUCUACCGCACCGACCCUAUUUGUUGCCUUAAACCGACGCUAUAAGCGUAUGUUUCUGGCAACAAAUUUAAUAGAAAUUACAGUGGUUGGUAUCUUUGCGAUGGAGAGGUUGAGAUAAAGACAUGCUUCCUCAGCAACUCUAACGCAGGUACUCUGCUGAACAGCCUACGGAAUUAGCAGAAGUGUGGUGCAUCUUCGUUGAUUAUCGGAAGCUAUCCUUUUCCUACAAGGGUUGUUGCUCUUGUGGGAAAUAGUUUGUAAGGACAAUAGACGGCAAAAUGCGACCAUUUAAAAAAUAAUUUAUUGAACAAUAAAACUGAUCAAAAGUGUAA